rnacentral:rRNA from 1 species
UACGUAGGGUGCGAGCGUUGUCCGGAAUUAUUGGGCGUAAAGAGCUCGUAGGCGGUUUGUCGCGUCGGGAGUGAAAACCAGGUGCUUAACACCUGGCUUGCUUUCGAUACGGGCAGACUAGAGGUAUUCAGGGGAGAACGGAAUUCCUGGUGUAGCGGUGAAAUGCGCAGAUAUCAGGAGGAACACCGGUGGCGAAGGCGGUGGUCUGGGCCGGCACUGACGCUGAGGAGCGAAAGCGUGGGGAGCAAACAGG